rnacentral:rRNA from 1 species
GCGAAGGCAAUCUUCAGGACGGGUACUGACGCUGAGACACGAAAGCCAAGGGAGCGAACAGGAUUAGAUACCCUGGUAGUCUUGGCCCUAAACUAUGUUCACUAGGUGUCGGGGGUUCCCCUCGGUGCCGCAGCUAACGCAUUAAGUGAACCGCCUGGGGACUACGGCCGCAAGGUUGAAACUCAAAGGAAUUGGCGGGGGCCCGCACAAGCGGUGGAGCAUGUGGCUUAAUUCGAUGCAACGCGAAGAACCUUACCAGGGCUUGACAUGGUACUGCAAGCUGCCGAAACGCAGUCGCUUUCGAAGGUGUAUCACAGGUGGUGCAUGGCUGUCGUCAGCUCGUGUUGUGAAAUGUUGGGUUAAGUCCCGCAACGAGCGCAACCCUCAUGUUCUGUUGCCAGCGAGUAAUGUCGGGAACUCGGAACAAACUGCCUCUGUAAGGAGGAGGAAGGUGGGGAUAACGUCAAGUCAUCAUGCCCCUUACGCCCUGGGCUGCACACAUGCUACAAUGGCCGGUACAAAGAGCUGCGAACUCGCGAGAGUAAGCCAAUCUCAAAAAGCCGGUCUCAGUUCGGAUUGGAGUCUGCAACUCGACUCCAUGAAGUUGGAAUCGCUAGUAACCGCCGGUCAGCAAUACGGCGGUGAAUACGUUCCCGGGCCUUGCACACACCGCCCGUCACGCCACGAAAGUUGGUCUUACCCGAAGUCGCCGUGCUAACCGCAAGGAGGCAAGCGCCUAAGGUAGGGCCGAUGAUUGGGACGAAGUCGUAACAAGGUAACCAAGGG